GAGGAAGGCAGCCUGACAGCUGUCUCGGCCACGGGGACCGGGGAAUGUGGCUAUGCUGUCUGCCGAGCACCCUUUCUGGAGACCGGCGUGCAUGCCAUCGCAGCACUGGGCAGGCUGAGGCGGCGGGGUCGCAGUGUUCUGCCUGCAUGUAUGCCUGCAGGCCAGAAGAGGGCACCAGGUCUCAUUACGGAUGGUUGUGAGCCACCAUGUGGUUGCUGGGAAUUGAAGCCAGUGCUCCUAACCUCUGAGCCAUCUCUCUCUGCAGCACAAUAAAAUGGAUCUUAAAGAGUCAGUUUCCAAAGAGCGGCUGCAGAUCACACAGGUAGGUCUAUCACCAUACUUCUCAAAAGGGUGGUUUUUGUUGCUCCCCCUUUUAGGUUGGAGAAUUGUAAAACCAGGAAGACAACUGCAACAAAUCAGUGACUCUUAGUGCUUUAAACAUUUUUUUUUUUUUUUUUGGUUUUUCGAGACAGGGUUUCUCUGUGAAAAACCAA